rnacentral:tRNA from 1 species
GCCAGCGUGGCUCAGUGGUUAGAGCAUCGGCCCACACACCGAAGGGCCCUGGGUUCGAUUCCUGGUCAAGGGCA